rnacentral:rRNA from 1 species
UACGGAGGGUCCAAGCGUUAUCCGGAAUCAUUGGGUUUAAAGGGUCCGUAGGCGGCCCAGUAAGUCAGUGGUGAAAUCUCCCCGCUCAACGGGGAAACUGCCAUUGAUACUGCUGGGCUUGAAUUAUUGGGAAGUAACUAGAAUAUGUAGUGUAGCGGUGAAAUGCUUAGAGAUUACAUGGAAUACCGAUUGCGAAGGCAGGUUACUACCAAUACAUUGACGCUGAUGGACGAAAGCGUGGGGAGCGAACAGG